AACUUUCAGCAACGGAUCACUUGGUUCCCACAUCGAUGAAGAACGCAGCGAAAUGCGAUAAGUAAUGUGAAUUGCAGAAUCCAGUGAAUCAUCGAAUCUUUGAACGCACAUUGCGCCCUCUGGCAUUCCGGGGGGCAUGCCUGUCCGAGUGUCAUCAAACACCCUCCCCCGGGACCUUCUCAUAGCGCGUUGGCAAGGGGGGUUUUGGCCGUCUGGCUCUCCACGGGUCCGCUUCGGUGGCCCGACCGGGCCCGGCUCAAAUACCAGGUCUGUAGGCAGGAGCGUGCUGUCGGUCGACGUAAUGGUAACAUGUAACGUCAAUCCAGCCCCAGAGUCCUUCAGAACCACAAACGGCGUGCCUCGCGCGGCGACGCCACACCAGCAGUUUGACCUCGGAUCAGGUAGGGAUACCCGCUGAACUUAAGCAUAUCAAUAAGCGGAGGCU
rnacentral:misc_RNA from 1 species